rnacentral:rRNA from 1 species
AUGACGUGUCCCUAUGCGGCUAGGCGCCACCCGACAGUGAACAGACAGCGCACGGCAACGACGCACCAUCAGUCACGCACCCUCCACCCAAGUCGCCGACUCCCGCCGUCGCGAUCGCGGCGGCCGCCGGCAAUGUCUUGGCUCGCGCGCUCCAUCGCCAACUCCCUCCUAUCCCCCGACAGCCCCGAGGCCGACGGCGAAGACCCCCGCGCCUCCGACUCCACCUCCCCGGGCUCACCCCCUCGCGGCGUCCGCGAGGAUCUCUCGGAGCUCACUGACGCCCUCGCCCACCGGUUCCAGGGCCUUGCCUCCUUCCUCGCGGCGCCCACUCCCGCAGGAAGCGGCGGCGCACCCCGCGGGCUGAACCCGUCCGAGAUUGCGGGGCGCUUCCGCCUGGGGCUCGCGCGGCUCCCGGGCCGCCAGGCCGUGGCAGAUCUCGCCAAGAACGCGUCCUCUCUACUGCACCCGGACGAAUACUGGGGCGGGUCGGAGGCCGCCGGGGCUACCGAGGACGUGGUCGCCUUCGCGCGGGACGCCGCCAUGCGGCCCGAGCUCUGGCUGGACUUCCCCCUUCUCCCCGACGACGCGGACUCGGACGAUUUUGACAUUAGUGAUGCGCAGCAAGAUCACGCGCUGGCCGUCGAGAGCAUGGCGCCGGAGCUGGCAGAUCUGAGGAUCGAACUCUGCCCAAGCCACAUGAGCGAGGGCUGCUUCUGGAAGAUAUACUUUGUGCUACUGCACCCUAAGCUCACAAAGGAGGAAGCCGAGCUUCUUUCUACUCCUCAGAUUUUGGAAGCUAGAGGGAAGUUGUCACAAAAUUCGCAACAUCGGACAAAGCUAGAGAGCAACGAAGACACAGUGGCUCUGACUUUCAGUAAUGGAGAUGGUACUGUACCUAUACCUGUAGAGGUGGUCAGCGUAGUAAAAGAUCAAGAUGCUUCCGGCAGGCCCACAGCUUUGGGCAAUGUAGAUUAUGGUAUACUUGAAUCGAUUCCUCUGGAAGAGCUAGCAAAAGAUACAGUCAGUGAUGCUGGAGCUGUUCCUUCAGAUAAAAUCAGCAGUGGCGUGCCUGUACAGCUAUUGCCGGUAUUAAGAGAUGCCACUGAGUUCUCAGUCUCACAAUCAAGGAUGGGAGAAACCAUUCACACUCCCUCUAAAGAACAUCCCACUGGGUUCUCACAAUCUAGCAUUGAAGAAAGAACACCCGACUCAAUUACAGAUGAUGUUGUAGCAAAUGAGCAGUGUGUACCAUUUGUAGACAGUGCUCCAUCGGAAGAAGAUCAACAUAAAUGGUCAUUGAGUGACCUCAGCGAGCAAUCAAGAGUUGUCACUCAAAAGUCCCAUAACGAUGGCACUGAUGAUGAUGGGGAUGAAUGGCUGGAAGAGGACACGGCUGGUCCAGGAAGCACGCACAUUCCAAUAGUAGGCGACGAUGAGGAUAUAUCUUUCAGUGAUCUGGAGGAAGAUGACUGA